UUUGGUGGAGGUUAACCUAAAACUGUCACGUCCUGUGACAACAGUUAACUUGCAUCAUGCCAA
rnacentral:sRNA from 1 species